AUCCACCCUCCGUACCUUUCUGCGCAUGUGCGAAAUAGCAGGCAAGAAACCGGCAUGUCGUCAGCCAUAUUAGCAAUCUUUUACCGCGUUGUUCGAAGAGGUUCAUUGAAAGUUUUUUUCAGUUCUUUUCUCUAGUUAUUUAAGCAGAUCAUAAGAUGGAUGUUUCGCAAGGACGAUCACCGGAAUUCACCCGAUUCUCUUUCUGUGAGCAAACAACCCAAAUCCUGGUAUCGCUGUUGUGUUUGUGGGACAACGUCUCGAAAAACACCAGACAGGAAAUUCUUCAGAUUUCCUAAGGAUCCUAUUAGAUCAAAACAAUGGGCUGCCGCAUGCAGUAAUCAAGACUUGUUAAAUAAAUCA
rnacentral:lncRNA from 1 species